rnacentral:rRNA from 1 species
UACGGAGGGUGCAAGCGUUAUCCGGAUUUACUGGGUUUAAAGGGUGCGUAGGCGGGCCUUUAAGUCAGUGGUGAAAUCUCCCCGCUCAACGGGGAAACUGCCAUUGAUACUAUUGGUCUUGAAUUUAGUUGAGGUGGGCGGAAUGUGUCGUGUAGCGGUGAAAUGCUUAGAUAAUGACACAGAACACCGAUUGCGAAGGCAGCUCGCUAAACUAAUAUUGACGCUGAGGCACGAAAAGCGUGGGGGAGUCAAAACAGGAAUUAAGAUUACCCCCGGUAGUCCAAGCACC